GAUGAACGCUGGCGGCGUGCCUAACACAUGCAAGUCGAGCGAAUGAAGUUCCUUCGGGAAUGGAUUUAGCGGCGGACGGGUGAGUAACACGUGGGCAACCUGCCUCAUAGAGGGGAAUAGCCUUCCGAAAGGGAGAUUAAUACCGCGUAAGAUUGUAGUACCGCAUGAUACAGCAAUUAAAGGAGCAAUCCGCUAUGAGAUGGGCCCGCGGCGCAUUAGCUAGUUGGUGAGGUAACGGCUCACCAAGGCGACGAUGCGUAGCCGACCUGAGAGGGUGAUCGGCCACAGUGGGACUGAGACACGGCCCAGACUCCUACGGGAGGCAGCAGUGGGGAAUAUUGCACAAUGGGGGAAACCCUGAUGCAGCAACGCCGCGUGAGUGAUGACGGCCUUCGGGUUGUAAACCGCUUUUAGUAGGGAAGAAGCCUUUCGGGGUGACGGUACCUGCAGAAAAAGGACCGGCUAACUACGUGCCAGCCGCCGCGGUAAGAC
rnacentral:rRNA from 1 species